GACGAGCGCUGGCGGCGUGCCUAAUACAUGCAAGUUGAGCGAUGAAGAUUGGUGCUUGCACCAAUUUGAAGAGCAGCGAACGGGUGAGUAACGCGUGGGGAAUCUGCCUUUGAGCGGGGGACAACAUUUGGAAACGAAUGCUAAUACCGCAUAACAACUUUAAACAUAAGUUUUAAGUUUGAAAGAUGCAAUUGCAUCACUCAAAGAUGAUCCCGCGUUGUAUUAGCUAGUUGGUGAGGUAAAGGCUCACCAAGGCGAUGAUACAUAGCCGACCUGAGAGGGUGAUCGGCCACAUUGGGACUGAGACACGGCCCAAACUCCUACGGGAGGCAGCAGUAGGGAAUCUUCGGCAAUGGACGAAAGUCUGACCGAGCAACGCCGCGUGAGUGAAGAAGGUUGUCGGAUCGUAAAACUCUGUUGGUAGAGAAGAACGUUGGUGAGAGUGGAAAGCUCAUCAAGUGACGGUAACUACCCAGAAAGGGACGGCUAACUACGUG
rnacentral:rRNA from 1 species